AACGAACGCUGGCGGCAGGCUUAACACAUGCAAGUCGAACGGGUGUAGCAAUACAUCAGUGGCAGACGGGUGAGUAACACGUGGGAACCUUCCUCGUUGUACGGGACAACUCAGGGAAACUUGAGCUAAUACCGUAUACGUCCGAGAGGAGAAAGAUUUAUCGCAAUGAGACGGGCCCGCGUCGGAUUAGCUAGUUGGUGGGGUAACGCCUACCAAGGCGACGAUCCGUAGCNGAUCUGAGAGGAUGAUCAGCCACACUGGGACUGAGACACGGCCCAGACUCCUACGGGAGGCAGCAGUGGGGAAUCUUGGACAAUCGGCGCAAGCCUGAUCCAGCCAUGCCGCGUGAGUGAAGAAGGCCUUAGGGUUGUAAAGCUCUUUUGCCAGGGACGAUAAUGACGGUACCUGGAGAAUAAGCCCCGGCAAACUUCGUGCCAGCAGCCGCCGUAAU
rnacentral:rRNA from 1 species